UGGGGAAUAUUGCACAAUGGGCGCAAGCCUGAUGCAGCGACGCCGCGUGGGGGAUGACGGCCUUCGGGUUGUAAACCUCUUUCAGUAUCGGCGAAGCUCCAGGGUUUUCUUUGGGGUGACGGUAGGUACAGAAGAAGCACCGGCCAACUACGUGCCAGCAGCCGCGGUAAUACGUAGGGUGCGAGCGUUGUCCGGAAUUACUGGGCGUAAAGAGCUCGUAGGUGGUUUGUCGCGUUGUCCGUGAAAACUCACAGCUCAACUGUGGGCGUGCGGGCGAUACGGGCAGACUAGAGUACUGUAGGGGAGACUGGAAUUCCUGGUGUAGCGGUGGAAUGCGCAGAUAUCAGGAGGAACACCGGUGGCGAAGGCGGGUCUCUGGGCAGUAACUGACGCUGAGGAGCGAAAGCGUGGGGAGCGAACAGG
rnacentral:rRNA from 1 species